CCUACGGGUGGCAGCAGUGGGGAAUAUUGGACAAUGGGGGCAACCCUGAUCCAGCCAUGCCGCGUGUGUGAAGAAGGCCCUCGGGUUGUAAAGCACUUUCAGUGAGGAAGAACGCCUGGUGGUUAAUACCCAUCAGGAAAGACAUCACUCACAGAAGAAGCACCGGCUAACUCCGUGCCAGCAGCCGCGGUAAUACGGAGGGUGCGAGCGUUAAUCGGAAUUACUGGGCGUAAAGCGCGCGUAGGUGGCUUGAUAAGCCGGUUGUGAAAGCCCCGGGCUCAACCUGGGAACGGCAUCCGGAACUGUCAAGCUAGAGUGCAGGAGAGGAAGGUAGAAUUCCCGGUGUAGCGGUGAAAUGCGUAGAGAGCGGGAGGAAUACCAGUGGCGAAGGCGGCCUUCUGGACUGACACUGACACUGAGGUGCGAAAGCGUGGGUAGCAAACAGGAUUAGAUACCCCUGUAGUC
rnacentral:rRNA from 1 species